AUAAAUACUGUGAAAAGAAAUAGUAAGUAUUCAAAAUAGUUUAGAGAGCUCUUGGCUGGUGUAAAAGAGUCUAUUAGAGAAUAUUGAAUUCAUCUUGGAGUAGAGGACUGAAUCGUUAGUAGUAGGUCUCUCCGGCAACACCCGUUAACGUGUAAGAGUAUGAACUAUUUGAUUAGCGUACUCGAUGAGGUUAGUGUAGCAAUACAUUAAUAAAUUAAGGUGGUAUCACGAAGCAUAAGCUCUCGUCCUUUUA
rnacentral:ncRNA from 1 species